UCAUUGCUGAGAAGUCCCAUAAUAGGACGAAACGGCCGUCCAGUGC
rfam:Schistosoma rodhaini strain Burundi genome assembly, scaffold: SROB_scaffold0002575